GCGACUUUAGCUCAGCUGGUAGAGCGGAACCUUGCCAAGGUUCAGGUCAGGAGUUCGAGCCUCCUAAGUCGCUCCA
rnacentral:tRNA from 1 species